rnacentral:lncRNA from 1 species
ACAGAACUUGAGAGCUUGCGGCCAAGGGAAGUCGUUCAUCGGUGGACCGACAGCGCCCCGGGCGGCAGAAAGAAGGCGGCGGCGGCGGAGACCCGGGGAAGUUGCCGGAUUUUUAAAAAGGCACCUGCUGGUUGGACCCAGACUGACACUCUUGCCUGAGGGCACAGACCAGGGAGCAGCAAUCAAUACUGGACACCAGGCAGCUUCCACGCUUGACAGUGUUGCCAGACCCUCGCGUGGGCAGGAGGGCACAGCUCUCUAGGAGGCAACAUUAUCCACUGGAGCAUCUAGAAGCACAAGUACUUCCAUGAUGGUCAGAGGCAGAAGAGGAUGCGGAGCAGGGUAGAAGACUCUCAUGACUACCUGCACGCCACCAUCUUCCCCGGCCUGGCGCAAUUGCCUUCAGGAUAUGUACAGCAUGACCCACAGGGAUUUCACUUCAUGGAAUGCAAAACCAACCUGCAUGAGCUUUGUUUGAAAACAAAACAAAACAAAACGAAAACAAAACAAAACAAAACAGAGAAAUCCUAUCUAUAAAAUUACUCUUAAUGGAAAUUCUGCCUGUAUAAAAUUAAAGUGGCAGAUGACUUUGUGCUGGGCACCAAGUGGCAUUGUUACAGAUGCCGGGGUACACACACGGAGACAGCUCCAGGCAAGGUGCAUUGUUAGGCAAGCUUCCUGUGAGGCAAAGCUAGCCACAGAUGGAAGCCUGCACCCAACCCUACUGCCCAGAGGAACCCCAGGACCCUCAGCCAUCCCUUCCUGGAAUUGCUCAACAUAGAGGAUGCAGGUAAUGAGG